UUAUUUAAAUUCGAUUUUUUUUUAAAAAAUUUCAUUCUUCCUCUGUUUUAAAAAAAAGAUUCUCUUCUCCUCUCAUUUCCUCUGCAGAGGCCCCCCACACCGAUGAGGGCUUCGGCUAUAGAUCCGACGAACCGUCGCCGUCCUCCGUCGCCGAAGACCGCCGUGUACGACAGUCAGAGGCAGGUGGGCGGUGGAGCAGGUGGAGCAGGUGACUGGCAUGGGCGAUGGGACGUUGGCGGCGCUGGGGUAGGUUAGGGUUUCAGUUUUCUUUUUUUAUUUGUUGUGGGCUAGGGUUAAAAGAAGUUUGGGCAUUGGGUUUUGUUUUAUUUUAUUAGGCUGUAAUUUUGGAUUUGUAAAAAAAAAAAAAAAACUAGACUUUUAAUUUAUUUUUUUUUGUUUGGUUAUUUUCUGGGUCCGGGCCAAAUUGGGCCUCUACAAAUAUGAUUCUGAAUGCAUCCAUAUAUGCAUGUAAUAUUUGUAUUUAAUCAUUGUGAUAUUGAACCUAAUGUAUGCAACUCAUGUUUAUUUUAAAA